UUUUUUUUUUGCUCUUUAUGUAAAGUCUGAGGUCAAGGCAAGGUCACAGAUAUACAGUAAUUGAACUUAUAGUUUUGCUUUCUCCAGCUAGUACUGAAAAUUUAUAAACAUCUUAUUAAGGCACUUAAGUUACUUUAAGUGCCUUAAUAAGAUAGUUUUGUACAAUUAUUUUUGUAGCCUCUCCAAAAGUGACAAGUCACUGACAUGUAAAAAAGUAUUAAUAUACGCUCUCCAGAGUCAUACGCAUGAGAUUCUCUUAAGAUCCGUUUGUUCUGCAUAAUAUUAAAAAUUACGUAUCAAAUCCAGAAAAUGAAGAGGACAUAUUAGAUUCUGAAAUAGUAAAUUCCUUUUAGUUCCCAACUCAGAUCAAAUCUGAGCAGGACAUAAAAAAUACAAUGAAAAGUUUAAUAAGGCUCUAUUAAUGAUUAAAGGAUCCAUAGUCCAGUAUGAAUUCUAGUUUGUAAAUCUGCCCACUUCAGGAAGGAAAAUAGUUCCUAAAAACCAAACCAUUAAACAGACAGGGACAGGUUUUCAAAACAAAAAUGCAUACUUCAUAACAUUUUAAGAUUCUCAAUAUCCUGUAUCCUUGUGUUCUUUCAUUAUCUGAGAAGUAAUUGAAACAAAUAAUG
rnacentral:lncRNA from 1 species